GUAGCAAAUUUGAAAAUGCUACGAAAUAAAAAACGUAGCUUCUCGUAUGUAAAACGUAGCAAAAAAGAUACGAAGUUGCCACAAAACCAAUCGUAGCAAAUAAUAGCUACAGUUUUGCUACGAAAUUCUCGUGGCAAAAUAGUUACGAAGUAAAUCGUGGCCAUAAUCAUGGCUAAUUUGACAAAAAAAUGUCCUUUUUGCUACGAUUUUGCCACGAUAUAGCUACGAAAAUUUGAAUCUCUAAACCUUAAGCAUAUUUUUAAACCUUUAAUUCUAAGUAUAACCCUUAAAACUCUUAUUUUAACUUUAAAUCUCAAAACUUAAACUCAAAAUUUAAUAUUUUUCGGAUUUUACUCUAAAAUUUCAAAUCUAACCUCAAACACUAUAUCCCAAACCAUAACUCUAACCCUAAACAUUAUACCCAAAAUUACAAAACCAAACACCAAAACUAAUAUUUUCAACUUUAAAAUAAAAUCUUAAAAAUAAAGCAUAAAUCUAAUAUUUUCAAACUUUAUUUUCAAAUCAUAAAUUUUAAACCAUAAAUUAUAACUUUUUAAACACAAACCUUAAUUCUUUAACAUAUACCCUAUAUUAGAAACUCUAACAUAAUACAUAAACUUGUAAAUUUUAAUUUUUAACUUUUAAUUAUAUAAACUGAAUCAUAGCUACAAUAAUAUCAGCAUUAAUUAAGAUUAAAAAACUUGAAACAUAAUCAUGUAAAUCAUAAAUUUCAGUUCAUAUGAUUUAAAAAGCAAAUCAAAAUUAACUCUAAACUUUAUACUUCAAACAUUAUUUCAUAAACAUUACUCUAAACUGCAAACUUUAAAUAAAACUCUAAACUUUAAAACUAAUAUAUAUAUAUAUAUACAAACCUUAAAAUACCCAAUACAAAUAUUAAACUCUUUUUAAUGAGGGGGAAUCUUCGAUCGGGAGGAAAAUAAAUAAAUGUGGGAAAAGGUAAGAAAUAAUGUGAUUUGUCGAUGUCAAAAAACAUGGAUCACUCAUUCUCAUGUCCUAUUGGUUAAUAUAAUGAGUGGAAGGAUCACAAUUUGAACCGUUGAUUAGAUUGAAUCUAAUGGUCCAGAUUAAUAUUUUUGUGUUUCUUCCUCCCUCAUCUUUCUUCUCUAUCUCUUCCUCUCUCACAUGAUUCUCUUUACUUCUCCUUUCUUCCAUGUCUUCUCUGUCUAGUACUUCUCUUGACCUGUCUUCUUGCUGGACGCCAUCGGAGCUUCUCGGCGUAGUGGUAGAAGAGGCAGAGGAGAUUGAUGGAGGAGGAGUUAGCAGAGGUGGUGGUGGCUCGUGACUCGUGUGCAGAACCGGCUUGAAGGGUGAAGAAGAAGAAGCUACGGUGAGGAAGCAGAAGAAGCGUGAUGGCGGAGCAGGCGUGACGCGUUGCUUCAUCCGUUACACCGGUUGUUCCAGAAGCAGAUCGAGUCGCCGCUUCAGACGUAGCAUCCGGAGCCAGUGGAGGUGUCUGUCGUGAAGCCGGUGGCGGAACCGGUGGUGGAGUCGGUGGUUGAGCCUGUGUAUAUAUUUGUGUGUAUAUGUGUAUAUAUUCAUAAUUUGUAAUUUAAUUAAUAGAAAAAUAUUUUUAUGCA